rnacentral:rRNA from 1 species
UACGUAGGCGGUCUGUUAAGUCAGAUGUGAAAGCCCCGGGCUUAACCUGGGAAUUGCAUUUGAUACUGGCAGACUAGAGUAUGGUAGAGGGGGUAGAAUUCCUAGUGUAGCGGUGAAAUGCGUAGAUAUUAGGAGGAAUACCAGUGGCGAAGGCGGCCCCCUGGGCCAAUACUGACGCUGAGGUACGAAAGCGUGGGUAGCGAACA